rnacentral:rRNA from 1 species
AACGAACGCUGGCGGCAUGCCUAACACAUGCAAGUCGAACGAGACCUUCGGGUCUAGUGGCGCACGGGUGCGUAACGCGUGGGAAUCUGCCCUUCGGUUGGGAAUAACUGAGAGAAAUUUCAGCUAAUACCUUAUAAUGUCUUCGGACCAAAGAUUUAUCGCCGAGGGAUGAGCCCGCGUAGGAUUAGGUAGUUGGUGGGGUAAUGGCCUACCAGGCCGACGAUCCUUAGCUGGUCUGAGAGGAUGAUCAGCCACACUGGGACUGAGACACGGCCCAGACUCCUACGGGAGGCAGCAGUGGGGAAUAUUGGACAAUGGGCGAAAGCCUGAUCCAGCAAUGCCGCGUGAGUGAUGAAGGCCUUAGGGUUGUAAAGCUCUUUUACCCGGGAUGAUAAUGACAGUACCGGGAGAAUAAGCUCCGGCUAACUCCGUG